rnacentral:rRNA from 1 species
UACGUAGGUGGCGAGCGUUGUCCGGAAUUAUUGGGCGUAAAGGGAGCGCAGGUGGGAUUGUAAGUCAGUCUUAAAAGUUCGGGGCUCAACCCCGUGAUGGGAUUGAAACUACAAUUCUUGAGUGCAGGAGAGGAAAGCGGAAUUCCUAGUGUAGCGGUGAAAUGCGUAGAUAUUAGGAGGAACACCAGUGGCGAAGGCGGCUUUCUGGACUGUAACUGACACUGAGGCUCGAAAGCGUGGGGAGCGAACA